UCUGCCUGAGUGUAGAGCAAAAAGGGCGCUUUUCCACCACUAUCUAUGCACAGGCUAGAGUGGGAUUGCUCAAUUUGAUUAUCCAGUUUGUAGUUGUAUGCUACCCCCACCCACCCACACACACUCAGGCUCUCGUACCCAUAUAUGCCUGCAUUUACACAUACAUGAGAAUCAGAACUACUUUUCCUACAUUUUUACCUCUUUAGGCAUAAAUUUUAAGCAGUAGUGCACUGAAUACUGCUCCUACUAGUGCAUAAUUACUAUAGUUUCACAAAUUUUUAAAGGUGUUUUGCAUCACGUUGACAGGUUGAAAUUGGUCAUGGUAGGAUUAUUUACAGAUGGCUAAUCAACAAAUGGUACAAUUCACAGCUUGUCCUCCAGUAUCCUUUGCUGACACUCCCAUGUGGCUUUGUGUAGAACAAUGAUCCAUAGCCAGGAUGCCCACAGACAUCACACUGGCUGUUCUGAGAAGAAUGAAUGACAAGAGACAAAGAAUGAAAGGAAGGCAAAGAUUCUGGGAAGAUGAUGUUAGGACUCAGAAAACAACACCCCAAAAUAAAAGCCUCAGAAGCAA